rnacentral:rRNA from 1 species
CCUACGGGUGGCAGCAGUAGGGAAUCUUGCACAAUGGGCGAAAGCCUGAUGGAGCAACGCCGCGUGGGUGAAGAAGGUCUUCGGAUCGUAAAACCCUGUUGUUAGAGAAGAAAGUGCGUGAGAGUAACUGUUCACGUUUCGACGGUAUCUAACCAGAAAGCCACGGCUAACUACGUGCAAGCAGCCGCGGUAAUACGUAGGUGGCAAGCGUUAUCCGGAUUUAUUGGGCGUAAAGGGAACGCAGGCGGUCUUUUAAGUUUGAUGGGAAAGCCUUCGGCUUAACCGGAGUAGUGCAUUGGAAACUGGGAGACUUGAGUGCAGGAGAGGAGAGUGGAACUCCAUGUGUAGCGGUGAAAUGCGUUGAUAUAUGGAAGAACACCAGUGGCGAACGCGGCUCUCUGGUCUGUAACUGACGCUGAGGUUCGAAAGCGUGGGUAGCAAACAGGAUUAGAUACCCCAGUAGUC